GAGGUUAUAGCUCAGUGGUAGAGCACAUGCUUAGCAUGUGUGAGUCCCAAGUUUAAUCCCCAGUACCCUCA
rnacentral:tRNA from 1 species